UACGUAGGGGGCAAGCGUUAUCCGGAUUUACUGGGUGUAAAGGGGGCGCAGACGGCGAUGCAAGCCAGGAGUGAAAGCCCGGGGCCCAACCCCGGGACUGCUCUUGGAACUGCGUGGCUGGAGUGCAGGAGGGGCAGGCGGAAUUCCUGGUGUAGCGGUGAAAUGCGUAGAUACCAGGAGGAACACCGGUGGCGAAGGCGGCCUGCUGGACUGCAACUGACGUUGAGGCCCGAAAGCGUGGGGAGCAAACAGG
rnacentral:rRNA from 1 species